AAUAGAUACCCUGGUAGUCCACCCCGUAAACGUUGGGAACUAGUUGUGGGGUCCUUUCCACGGAUUCCGUGACGCAGCUAACGCAUUAAGUUCCCCGCCUGGGGAGUACGGCCGCAAGGCUAAAACUCAAAGGAAUUGACGGGGACCCGCACAAGCGGCGGAGCAUGCGGAUUAAUUCGAUGCAACGCGAAGAACCUUACCAAGGCUUGACAUACACCGGAAACGGCCAGAGAUGGUCGCCCCGCAAGGUCGGUGUACAGGUGGUGCAUGGUUGUCGUCAGCUCGUGUCGUGAGAUGUUGGGUUAAGUCCCGCAACGAGCGCAACCCUCGUUCUAUGUUGCCAGCACGUUAUGGUGGGAACUCAUGGGAUACUGCCGGGGUCAACUCGGAGGAAGGUGGGGAUGACGUCAAAUCAUCAUGCCCCUUAUGUCUUGGGCUUCACGCAUGCUACAAUGGCCGGUACAAAGGGCUGCAAUACCGUGAGGUGGAGCGAAUCCCAAAAAGCCGGUCCCAGUUCGGAUUGAGGUCUGCAACUCGACCUCA
rnacentral:rRNA from 1 species